UGUUUGAAUAAACUUUAAUCACAAUUCACAGAUUCCACACAGUUCUUACAUGGCAUCAGAUACCAAAGAGGAAUUCUGACUUCUCUAUUUUGAUCAUGUACCUUUCAACCUCCAUUAAUGGAGUUUCUUUUAUCUUCCGCUGUAACUCACCAUUACCACCACCACCUUCACAACAAUCACUACCUGCAACAUCACAAAUCAAUACACCUACAACCUCAUCACCUCCACUUCAAUCUCUGAUUUCAAAUCAGAUGAUACAAAUAAUCACCUACAACAUCUUUUUCUUUUCAAUUACACAACCAGAAGAGGCAUUUUGACUGUCUCAAACCUAAUUUUCUUUUUGAUUACACAAACUGAAGAGGGAUUUUGACUUCCUCAACCAAUUAUCUACAACAACAUCACAACCUCAACCACCGCCAUCAUCACCAUAAAUUCAUCAACAACCUCUAGAGGCUUUUCGACUGUCUCCAAUCUCCUUCCAUUGUUUGUUUCUUUGUUGAUUUCAAUUUUCUACAUCUGAAUUAGUUAGGUAUUUUAGAUUUUUUUCAAGAUUCGAUUUAUUUUUGCAAUUUCUUUGCGAUUCAGUUUCUGGAUCUGAUUUGGGUGACGUUUGAUAAUGACGAUUCAUGAUCUUGGUCCUUGAUAUAUCGGCAUCUGUUUAGUAUUUGGAUUAGAGGAAAUAUUCAAGAUCUCCUGCUCCACUACCGAGUCUCAGUUUUCUUAUCUUCAUACCAGUUUACUUCUGCUUCGAGAAUUCUUGAAGAUAUUUGUUGGAUGGAGAUUUGUAAAUUGAGUGAUUUUUCUUCACAUGGAUGAAGCCUCGUAUUCAACUAGUGAUUUUGCUUCAUGAAGAUGCAAACUCAUUGUUACUUCAAGAUAAGUUCUCUCAACUUUUUAGAUCUGAUUUGCAUACUAUUCAUAGUUUCAAGAUAGCAAUUGUGACAAUCAAUUUGUGGAUAAGUUUUACAUUGUAUUUCGGUUUAGAGAACAUCUGUGAUUUUUCAUCACAUUGGUGAAAACUCGGUAUUGACAUUUUUUUUAUUCUUCAUUACCUUUGAUGAAUACCCAAAGUUACUUUGUGUUGUUACAAUUGAGGUCAGACUCGUCAUAGUGCUAUUGUGUGUGUUGUGUGUUCAUUUUUCUUCAAUUGUCUAUAUUGUCUUAAGAAAAUCCAGCACACAGUCCUCCUAUGUAGUCUUAGAUUAGUGAUGGAGAAGUAUAUGUUGAGAUACAUAUGAUGAUCUGUAAUGAUGCUGCAUCAACCUUUGUGUGAGUUUCUUGGAUUUCAUAGUUCAACUGCAACGCUUGGAUUUCUAUUCUACAGUCACAGAUGACAAACUUUGCACUAUCCUAGUGCUUAGUUUGAGGGGGAAUAUCUCCAGGAUUUGCAACUUUAUUUCACUAUUUACAGAUUGGUUUGAAUCCAUGAUUUGCACAAGGCUUUGAGUUUCUAUAUGCUGUUAAUACUUCAAGAUGAUAAUGGUACAAGAGACUGUGAAUGUUUUGGAUUGAAUAAUGUGCAAUGAUCCAAGUAUUACAUGUCAGAUUUAUUAUUUGUAGAAAGCUUUACAGGGGAUCAACUACUGUUGUUGAUACAGUAGCAGAUGGAUCAACUUCAAGAGUUGACACAGUUCUGGUUUGUAUGGUUUGGCUUUCUUCUGCAUCAACAUCAUAGCAUAUGCUUCAACUAUAUCUCUCAAACCAAGUUAUGCAGUAUAUCAUCUACAAAAAUAGUUUGCAGUGCUUCUCAAUAGCAUCCAAGGGUCAUCUUUAUUAUGGUUCAGCUACUACUUUGUGCAGAGCAACUUUCUAUUCUUUAAAGCAACCUGAUGCAGUACUAAAGUGAUCAGUUAGAGUUUAAGGUGGAAUGCUACUUCAACUACAGAUGCUCCUACUAAAGUUGUGUCAACUGACACUGUUGAUCCUGCACCAGUUGAGUCAACUGACACUGUUGAUCCUGCUCCAGCUCCUUCUGGCAUGCAUACAAGCUUCUUAAUCAGGAUUUGCAAAGAUUACAUGUGUUAAUGCUGCUGCUGUUUAUAUCUGGUAGAGCAUCAGAAGACUUCCAUGUGCAGUUUCUCUAUAACAUCCAGUUGUAGGUAUUCCAGGUCACAAUGCUUGAUUAGCAAACUAAAGCAUCAAUGCUCAUUAUGGAUGCAUUAGUUUGAGGGGGAAUGUUAGAACAAGCAUGACUGUGCUAUGCUGACUCAUCUCCAGCUUAUCUGAACUAUACACGUGCUAACCUUGUAUUGGUUACUGACAGCUCAUCUACAGCUGUAUUACUCUAUCUGUAACUGUCUUGUAAUGAAGCUUAUAAAUAAUCCUCUCCUUCAUUGUAAUCUUUGGUCUCUGUUUGAAUAAACGUUAAUCACAAUUCACAGAUUCAACACAGUUCUUACAAUCGAUAAACAACGCACCUUCGAGGUGCAAUCUCUUAUUUGUCGUUCCAAGAAGCUACACCUGGAGUGCAUGGCUGGCAAGUAAAUGGAGAUUGCCAGACUUCAGUCACUGGUAACUGAGAAGGAUUGGUUGAUAGCCAAAAUGAACACAUGGUUAGCUGAUUUAACCACCAGGAAUGUACAUUGCUUCACUUCAAGAAGAGCUCAAGGUGACCCGAGGCAUGCUCGACCGGGCCCAGGGAUUCAUGAAUGCUGAUAGGCCUAUUGAUGAGGACUACGAUCCGGAGGAAUCCAAUUCGAAGGAUGAAUAAGUUUUUCUCCAUCUUGCUCUUUCUUGUGGAAAGAUGUUAUUCUUUGUAGAUGUUAUUCUUUCCUGGAACGGCUGGGCGUCCGUCAAAAUUUAUCUGUGCAACUAUUCUCUUUAUCUAGAUUUUGUGUAUGUGCUACUGAUAGGUGUAGAAUACACCCUCUUUAUUAUCUAUUGGUUAUGUUUUCUU